CAGUCGCCGCGGUAAUGCGUAGGUGGCGAGCGUUGUCCGGAUUUAUUGGGCGUAAAGGGAGUGUAGGCGGUCUUUUAAGUCUGAUGUGAAAGCCCACGGCUCAACCGUGGAGGGUCAUUGGAAACUGGGAGACUUGAGUGCAGAAGAGGAGAGCGGAAUUCCAUGUGUAGCGGUGAAAUGCGUAGAUAUAUGGAGGAACACCGGUGGCGAAAGCGGCUCUCUGGCUUGUAACUGACGCUGAGGCUCGAAAGCGUGGGGAGCAAACAGGAUUAGAUACCCCUGUAGUCCCUGUCUCUUAUAA
rnacentral:rRNA from 1 species